rnacentral:rRNA from 1 species
AUUGCCCUAGUAACGGCGAGUGAAGCGGCAACAGCUCAAAUUUGAAAUCUGGCCCUAGCGGUCCGAGUUGUAAUUUGUAGAGGAUGCUUUUGGUGAGGCGCCUUCCGAGUUCCCUGGAACGGGACGCCGGAGAGGGUGAGAGCCCCGUACGGUUGGACGCCAAACCUCUGUAUAGCUCCUUCGACGAGUCGAGUAGUUUGGGAAUGCUGCUCUAAAUGGGAGGUAAAUUUCUUCUAAAGCUAAAUACCGGCCAGAGACCGAUAGCGCACAAGUAGAGUGAUCGAAAGAUGAAAAGCACUUUGAAAAGAGGGUUAAAUAGCACGUGAAAUUGUUGAAAGGGAAGCGUUUGCGACCAGACUUUUUCCAGGCGGAUCAUCCGGCGUUCUCGCCGGUGCACUCCGCCUGGUUGAGGCCAGCAUCGGUUUCCUUAGGGGGAUAAAGGCCUGGGGAACGUAGCUCCUUCGGGAGUGUUAUAGCCCCUGGCGUAAUACCCCUCGGGGGACCGAGGAACGCGCUCUGCAAGGAUGCUGGCGUAAUGGUCGUCAACGACCCGUCUUGAAACACGGACCAAGGAGUCGAACAUUUGUGCGAGUGUUUGGGUGUCAAACCCUCACGCGUAAUGAAAGUGAACGGAGGUGAGAGCCCUUACGGGUGCAUCAUCGACCGAUCCUGAUGUCUUCGGAUGGAUUUGAGUAAGAGCAUAACUGUUCGGACCCGAAAGAUGGUGAACUAUGCGUGGAUAGGGUGAAGCCAGAGGAAACUCUGGUGGAGGCUCGCAGCGGUUCUGACGUGCAAAUCGAUCGUCAAAUCUGCGCAUGGGGGCGAAAGACUUAUCGAACCAUCUAGUAGCUGGUUACCGCCGAAGUUUCCCUCAGGAUAGCAGUGUUGUCUUCAGUUUUAUGAGGUAAAGCGAAUGAUUAGGGACUCGGGGGCGCUAUAUUGCCUUCAUCCAUUCUCAAACUUUAAAUAUGUAAGAAGCCCUUGUUACUUAGUUGAACGUGGGCAUUCGAAUGUACCAACACUAGUGGGCCAUUUUUGGUAAGCAGAACUGGCGAUGCGGGAUGAACCGAACGCGGGGUUAAGGUGCCAGAGUGGACGCUCAUCAGACACCACAAAAGGUGUUAGUACAUCUUGACAGCAGGACGGUGGCCAUGGAAGUCGGAAUCCGCUAAGGACUGUGUAACAACUCACCUGCCGAAUGUACUAGCCCUGAAAAUGGAUGGCGCUCAAGCGUCUCACCCAUACCUCGCCCUUAGGGUAGAAACGAUGCCCUAAGGAGUAGGCGGCCGUGGGAGGUUAGUGACGAAGCCUA